GUAAAUAUAGUUUAAACAAAACAUUAGAUUGUGAAUCUAAUAUUAGAGGAUAACACCCUCUUAUUUACC
rnacentral:tRNA from 1 species